CCUANGGGGGGCUGCAGUAACGAAUAUUGGGCAAUGCACGCAAGUGUGACCCAGCGACGCCGCGUGUGGGACGAAGUCCUUCGGGAUGUAAACCACUGUCAGGGGCAAGAAAGUUCUGAUCUGCCCCAGAGGAAGGCACGGCUAACUCUGUGCCAGCAGCCGCGGUAAGACAGAGGUGCCAAGCGUUAGGCGGAAUCACUGGGCUUAAAGCGUGUGUAGGCGGAACGUUAAGUGCCUUGUGAAAUCCCACGGCUCAACCGUGGAACUGCUUGGCAUACUGGCGUUCUUGAGCUGCCUAGGGGUCACUGGAACAAACGGUGGAGCGGUGAAAUGCGUAGAUAGCGUUUGGAACGCCCAAGGUGAAAACAGGUGACUGGGGGCAAGCUGACGCUGAGACACGAAAGCCAGGGGAGCAAACGGGAUUAGAUACCCCGNUANUC
rnacentral:rRNA from 1 species